rnacentral:rRNA from 1 species
GACGGAGGGGGCUAGCGUUGUUCGGAAUUACUGGGCGUAAAGCGCGCGUAGGCGGUAUAGUAAGUUGGAAGUGAAAUCCCGGGGCUUAACCUCGGAACUGCUUCCAAAACUAUUAUUCUAGAGUGUAGUAGGGGAUGAUGGAAUUCCUAGUGUAGUAGUGAAAUACGCAGAUAUUAGGAGGAACACCGGUGGCGAAGGCGGUCAUCUGGGCUACAACUGACGCUGAGGCGCGAAAGCAUGGGGAGCAAACAGG